UUCAAGCCCAGGAGAAACUGUCCUCCAUGUGGGCUCAGGGAAUCCACCAGAUGGAGAGCUCUCCACUUAGUAAUUAUUCCCAGCCAGGAUCCGAGUGGGAGCUAAGCGGAAGUGUUCUCCAGGGCAUGGGGCUGGGAGGUGCCCGUGCAAUGUGUGUGUCCACACCUGGAAGUUAGUUACCUCAUGUGAUUUGUGCCACCUCCAGGAAGGGCUACUCACCCCCAGCAUGGCAGAGUUGCUGUCCCUCUCAGCCUGUCCCUACCUUGGAGGUAGGCGCCUCCAAGAUGGUGGCAUGCAAAGAGGCUGUGAAAUGCACCACAGCAGGGACAAGGAAGGCACACAGUCUCAGAAUGGGGAUGGAAGCAUCACUAGCAAGCCUGGAACAGCAGUGAAGUGUUGAAAUGAUUUUCCCCAAAUCUGGGCUCUAGGACAGUCCUGCACACAGAUGAAUGCCCCUGUGAGCAAAUUACCUCUCCAGCCUGUUCAGAGUCACCUACGCUGCUGGCAAAUGGUUAUUCGGAGCAAGAAGAGAGACAAACAGCUACAGCAGUAGCUCUCAACCCUGGCUGCACAUGAGGAUCAGCUGGAGGAGCUUUGAUGAAGUGCUGAUGUCCAGGGCGCACCCUCAGAGACAGGAACUGGCAAACAGACACACGGAGGAGCAGGUCACGUGAAGAUGGAGGCAGAGGUUGGAGUUAUGCUGCCAUAAGACAAAAAGUGCCUGGAGCCCCCAGACGCUGGAAGAGGCGAGGAAGUAUCUAGAGCCCUCAGAGGGACAGUGGCCCUGUUGACACCUUAAUUUUGGACUUCUGGUUUCCAAAACUGUGAGAAAAUAAUUUCUUGUUUUUAGCUGCCAAGUUUGUGUUAAUUUGUUAUGACAGCUCUAGAAAACUAAGACAUCCUUCCCCAUCCCCUUUUCCUCCAUUGCCUUUCUCCUUUCACCUCAAUUAUAAUAUUUAAGAAAUUAUGCUUGUUCUUAAGAGGGCGGUCGUUGUGCUGGAGUAAAGAACCCAUGUCCCAGCAGAACUUAAAUGAUAUGCAAAUUAAAUGGCCAAAGGAGAACCACAAGAUGGAGAUGCUGCAAGUCACCAGUAGCCCAGUGCUAAGUGAAGCGUUUAUACCAUAAGUAUAGGGAGGCCGUGGCUUCUCUGCCCUGGGACCCAAUGUUUCUCUUGACCAAACUUUCCUUAAUUUUGAAUACUAGUUUUUUGAUUCCCUAGAAGAUGUACCUCACUGAGUGACAUCACUUUGAUCUCUCAAUUCUGAUCUUCUUGCUUUAAAUUUUUUCCAAGUCAUCAACAUGUUUUAUAUUUUUCCUGCCUAUUCUAAAGGGAUCUUUUAGAAUAUCUGUGACUUAAAGAUGGCAGACAAAAGUCACUGGGUGGUUUAAUCCCUGAUGAGAGGUUAUGAGAAAGUGAACAUUUUUUUCCAAGUCAAGUUACCAGCAUGUUUUAUACUUUUCCUACGUAUUCUAAAAGGGAUUUUUUAGUAUAUCUGUGACUUAAAGAUGGCAGACAAAAGUCACUGGGUUGUUUAAUCCCUGAUGAGAGACUGUGAGAAAGUCAAGACACACAUCAAAGAAAUGCUUUUUCAUGUUUGGGAAAAACAUGUGCUUUGAACUUUGAAUUAAUAAUUACUUUCUCUAUCUUGUUUCUUUUCUUUCUUUCCUUUCUUUUUUCUUUUUGGAGACAAGGUCUCACUCUGUUGCCCAGGCUGGAGUGCAGUGGCAUAAUCAUGGCUCACUGCAGCCUCCACCUCUUGGGCUCAAGCAAUUUUCCUGCCUCAGUCUCCUGAGUAGCUGGGACUAGGUGUUUACCACCAGCCCUGUUGUCUAUCUUGUUUCUAAAUCAAAAUUAAGCACUACUGGGUAAUGUCAUGGGAAGAUGGUGGAGUAGGAAGCUCUAGGAAUUUAGGACUUAGGCAUCAGCUAGGAACUGUCUGAAGCAACUAUUUUGGAACUCUGAAGUCUAAAAUAACAGUUGAGCAUUCAGGUGAGAGCUUGGUAAAGAGGCUGGCAGUAUUCAGUGAAUUUCAGCUUUUUGCCUAACCGUGGCUACCACUCUCAUCUCCUGGUCCUGCAUCUGCUUGCCAUGGGGGCAGUGGAUGGGUUCCUGAUGUGGCUUUCUGCAGCCCAGGGGGUCAACAAAAAUUUUAUCCUCCAAAAAUUAGAGUUGUAUGUUUUGAUUGCUGCUUACCGCUUUUGAUUGUGUAGGGGCUGGCACAGAGGUUGCCCGUUGCUUCAAACCCCAUGGGCUAAAGCAGCUCCUGAGGGGAUUUAAAGAGAUAGGAUCUAUUCCCUACCUGCUAGUAUCACCCCUCCAUCCCCUCAGAAACUGUUGGGAGGUCGACAGUAUGGAAAUAUCUGUCAGUCAUUGUGUGACUGCAGAGAUAAUGGAGCAAAAACUUCACUGACCACAAAAAACAAGUAAUAUUCAGUUGCAAAAUUAGUUUAGAAAAGUUUGAAGUGGUUGG